UCAUCAUCUGUGCCAUCAUAAUAAAACCCUAUAUUAUCUUUUGGAAUAAUGAAAAUGGAUUGCCUUUUUUUGCAAUAGAAGAGGAAGGACAUGAAUACGCAGUCGUUCCAUCACCGGAAAUUGGAACCCGACUCUCCUAAUCCGUGGAGUGGCGAUUUUGAUUUCGACGGCAGCGAUCGUAGAUUUGCAUUUUCACGGCAAAGUUCCUUUCACCAAUCGGCCGAGUCACAUACGCCUAUAUCAAUAAUCUCCAAUGACUCUAAAAAACCUUUGCUCUCUCGAACUGUUUCCAGCAUUAAUAUUCCUCCUAAUAUCUAUGCAUCCCAUGGUUCCGAUAUUAAAUUUAGGGAUUCCUCGUCUCUGUCAUCGGUUUUCCGAGGUGUUAUGUCUGGGAAUAAGCAGAUGAGGAGAUUGUUUAUGUUGAUUUCACUAAAUGUAGCUUAUUCUACCGCCGAGUUGUGUAUUGGCCUUUUAUCUGGCCGAGUAGGGUUGGUAUCAGACGCAUUUCAUUUGACCUUUGGUUGUGGCCUUUUGACAUUUUCCUUAUUUGCAAUGGAUGCUUCUAGAGAAAAGCCUGAUCGUGUUUACACUUAUGGGUAUAGAAGGUUAGAGGUUUUGUCUGCAUUCACCAAUGCUCUGUUUCUAUUGUUCAUGUCAUUCUCCUUGGCUGUGGAAGCACUUCAUGCCUUUAUACAAGAUGAAUCCGAGCACAAGCAUUACUUGAUCGUCUCAGCUGUCACUAACUUGCUGGUGAAUCUCAUCGGUGUUUGGUUCUUCCGGAAUUAUGCACGUAUUAAUCUUGCAGUCUAUCGGAAAGCUGAAGAUAUGAAUUAUCACUCUGUCUGCUUGCAUGUGCUAGCUGAUUCCAUUCGCAGUGCAGGCCUCAUCCUGGCUUCCUGGUUGUUAACACUUGGAGUAAAGAAUGCCGAAGUCUUAUGUUUGGGACUGGUUUCUGCCACUGUCUUUUUCCUCGUCAUGCCACUUUUUAGAACUACUGGUGGCAUCUUGCUCCAAAUGGCUCCACCAAGGAUCCCAUCUUCAGCCUGGAGCAAAUGCUGGAGGCAGUUUCUCAUGUGCUCAGGUUUCAUCUCGUGAAGACGUUUCAGAAGUAUCUCAAGCUCGUUUCUGGGAACUUGUGCCUGGUCAUGUUAUUGGAUCAAUUGCAUUGCAGGUAAAGGAGGGAGUUGACGAUUGGCCUGUUUUGCAAUAUGUGCAUGACCUAUACCAUGAAUUAGGAAUACAGGACUUGACCGUACAAAUUGACUAUACAUGAUCACCAUCUUGACUAUUUUUCUUUUUUAUCUUUAUUAGUUGAAAGAUGUGAUUUUACUGUUUUACCUCAACUAUUUGGCCCAUUCAUUGUCAGUGCGAGACAAAUUUCUUGGGAGAAGUGCACAAAUAUCCACUUUUAGUGUUGCCGUUUAGCUGAUACUGGCUUCAUAACUUUUUGCUAGUUUACCUUUUUCGGGAAAAAUGUCUGGUAAAGUUUGAUAACUUCAGACAUUUGUGUUUGAACGUAUGGUCUUGGCUGAAGAUGUUUUUACAUGAUAUGUUUGUAUACUUGCAAAUAUAAAAGUUCGGUCAUUUUUAUUGGAGGAAAGACAUGAAUUUCCUUCUGAA